AAGUCGUAACAAGGUCUCCGUAGGUGAACCUGCGGAGGGAUCAUUACACAAACAUGAAGGCGGGCUGGAACCUCUCGGGGUUACAGCCUUGCUGAAUUAUUCACCCUUGUCUUUUGCGUACUUCUUGUUUCCUUGGUGGGUUCGCCCACCACUAGGACAAACAUAAAACCUUUUGUAAUUGCAAUCAGCGUCAGUAACAAAUUAAUAAUUACAA
rnacentral:misc_RNA from 1 species